UACGAAGGGGGGCUAGCGUUGCUCGGAAUCACUGGGCGUAAAGCGCACGUAGGCGGAUCUUUUAAGUCAGGGGUGAAAUCCCAAGGCUCAACCUUGGAACUGCCUUUGAUACUGGGGAUCUCGAGUCCGGAAGAGGUUGGUGGAACUGCGAGUGUAGAGGUGAAAUUCGUAGAUAUUCGCAAGAACACCAGUGGCGAAGGCGGCCAACUGGUCCGGUACUGACGCUGAGGUGCGAAAGCGUGGGGGAGCAAACAGG
rnacentral:rRNA from 1 species